AUGAACGCUAGCGACAGGCCUAACACAUGCAAGUCGAGGGGCAGCGAAGAGGUAGCAAUACCUUUGUCGGCGACCGGCGCACGGGUGAGUAACACGUAUGCAAUCCACCUGUAACAGGGGGAUAACCCGGAGAAAUCCGGACUAAUACCCCAUAAUAUGGACACUCCGCAUGGAGAGUUCAUUAAAGAGAGCAAUUUUGGUUACAGACGAGCAUGCGCUCCAUUAGCCAGUUGGCGGGGUAACGGCCCACCAAGGCGACGAUGGAUAGGGGUUCUGAGAGGAAGGUCCCCCACAUUGGAACUGAGACACGGUCCAAACUCCUACGGGAGGCAGCAGUGAGGAAUAUUGGUCAAUGGUCGGCAGACUGAACCAGCCAAGUCGCGUGAGGGAAGACGGCCCUACGGGUUGUAAACCUCUUUUGUCGGAGAGUAAAGUACGCUACGUGUAGUGUAUUGCAAGUAUCCGAAGAAAAAGCAUCGGCUAACUCCGUGCCAGCAGCCGCGGUAAUACGGAGGAUGCAAGCGUUAUCCGGAUUUAUUGGGUUUAAAGGGUGCGUAGGCGGCACGCCAAGUCAGCGGUGAAAUUUCCGGGCUCAACCCGGAAUGUGCCGUUGAAACUGGCGAGCUAGAGUGCACAAGAGGCAGGCGGAAUGCGUGGUGUAGCGGUGAAAUGCAUAGAUAUCACGCAGAACCCCGAUUGCGAAGGCAGCCUGCUAGGGUGCGACAGACGCUGAGGCACGAAAGCGUGGGUAUCGAACAGGAUUAGAUACCCUGGUAGUCCACGCAGUAAACGAUGAAUACUAACUGUUUGCGAUACAAUGUAAGCGGUACAGCGAAAGCGUUAAGUAUUCCACCUGGGGAGUACGCCGGCAACGGUGAAACUCAAAGGAAUUGACGGGGACCCGCACAAGCGGUGGAGCAUGUGGUUUAAUUCGAAGCAACGCGAAGAACCUUACCAAGUCUUGACAUCCCUCUGACCGUUCCUUAACCGGAACUUUCCUUCGGGACAGGGGAGACAGGUGGUGCAUGGUUGUCGUCAGCUCGUGUCGUGAGAUGUUGGGUUAAGUCCCGCAACGAGCGCAACCCUUAUUGCCAGUUACUACGCAAGAGGACUCUGGCGAGACUGCCGUUGACAAAACGGAGGAAGGUGGGGAUGACGUCAAAUCAGCACGGCCCUUACGUCCGGGGCGACACACGUGUUACAAUGGCAGGUACAGAAGGCAGCCAGUCAGCAAUGACGCGCGAAUCCCGAAAACCUGUCUCAGUUCGGAUUGGAGUCUGCAACCCGACUCCAUGAAGCUGGAUUCGCUAGUAAUCGCGCAUCAGCCAUGGCGCGGUGAAUACGUUCCCGGGCCUUGUACACACCGCCCGUCAAGCCAUGGAAGCCGGGAGUACCUGAAGCAUGCAACCGCAAGGAGCGUACGAAGGUAAUACCGGUAACUGGGGCU
rnacentral:rRNA from 1 species